GACGUAGGGCGCGAGCGUUGUCCGGAUUUAUUGGGCGUAAAGAGCUCGUAGGCGGCGUGUCACGUCGGUUGUGAAAGCCCGGGGCUUAACUCCGGGUCUGCAGUCGAUACGGGCAUGCUUGAGUUCGGCAGGGGAGAUCGGAAUUCCUGGUGUAGCGGUGAAAUGCGCAGAUAUCAGGAGGAACACCAAUGGCGAAGGCAGCUCGCUGGGACGGUACUGACGCUGAGGCGCGAAAGCGUGGGGAGCAAACAGG
rnacentral:rRNA from 1 species